CGAACAGAGACCUAAAUCGUGGGAUGUUUCAAACGAAGGGUACAAAAACAGAGACCUAAGGCAAAAAUCUUGUGAAGAUAUAGGAACAAGUUUAAUUGAUGGUUUCAAUAACUUAUCACAGGCAGAAAAAAAACAGAUAUUGGAAAAGCUGCAAAAACGAUGGAAAACAUCCAGAGAUGCAUUUAUACGAUGCCGCAAUAAAGGCAAGACUUUAAAGAGUGGUUCAGCGGCCAAGAAGCUGAGUAAAUAUAUCUAUUACGAGAAUUUGAAAUUUUUGGAGAAAAGUUUAGAUCUAAAUAACACUCAGACAAAUUUGGAAAAUUCUGAAGAUGAGGAGCCAAAUGAAGUUGAGAACGAUGAGGUUGAUGCAGAUCUAGAAGAAACUGACAGAGUUGAGCAAGUGGAACGCGCUGAAACAACGAAGCGAAA